GACGAACGCUGGCGGCGUGCUUAACACAUGCAAGUCGAACGGAAAGGCCUGCUUUUCCUUGUGUACUGCGGGUACUCGAGUGGCGAACGCGUGAGUAACACGUGCGCGAUAUGUUCCCAACUUGGGAAUAAGCUGGGGGAACUGGGUCUAAUUACCGCCAGGACUGCAGGGUGGGGCGUGUGGUGGAAACCGUUUUUCUUGUGGUCGCGGCUGAGCUCGCGGCCUAUCAGCUUGUUGGUGGGGUAAUGGCUGACCAAGGCGGGGACAGGUAGCCGGCCUGGGGGGGUCGACGGGCGCAUUGGGACUGGGAUACGGCCCAGACGCCAACGGGAAGCAGCAGAGGGGAGUAAGGAGCGGUGAGCAGAAGCCUGAUGCAGCGACGCCGCGUGGGCGAUGACGGGCUUGGGGUGGUAAACUCCUUGCGACCAAGAGCAAGCCACCGGGUUGGAGGGGUGGUGACGGUAGUGGUAGAAGAAGCACCGGCUAACUACGUG
rnacentral:rRNA from 1 species